UUAAACGCAACUCUCUCAGCAACAAACCCGUAAUAUUAUACUGUUCCAAUAUUAAACACACAAAAUACAUCGGCCCAUAUUCUGACUUCAAGUUUGGACUAUAGUUGUGGUUUGACUAUCACUAGCCAACUAUGACACUAAUCAUUAAUAGGACAGGUUCAAUAUGGUUUAACUAUGGCUAGCCAACUAUGACACUAAUCAUUAACAGUACAGGUUCAAUAUGGUUUAACUAUGGAUAGCCAACUAUGACACUAAUCAUUAACAGUACAGGUUCAAUAAGGUUUAACUAUGGCUAGCCAAAUAUGACAUUAAUCAUUAACAGUACAGAUUCAAUUUGGUUUAACAAUAGAAAGCCAAGUACAACACUAAUCAUUAACAGUACAGGUUCAAUUUGGUUUAACUAUGGCUAGCCAACUAUGACACUAAUCAUUAAUAGGACAGGUUCAAUAUGGUUUAAGUAUGGCUAGCCAACUAUUACACUAAUCAUUAAUAGUACAGGUUCAAUAUGGUUUAACUAUGGCGAGCCUACUAUGACACUAAUCAUUAAUAGGACAUGUUCAAUAAGGUUUAACUAUGGCUAGCCAACUAUGACACUAAUCAUUAACAGUACAGGUUCAAUUUGGUUUAACUAUGGAAAGCCAACUAUGACACAAAUCGUUAACAGUACAGGUUCAAUUUAUCAGUUCAUUCAU